UACGAAUGGGGGCUAGCGUUGCUCGGAAUACUGGGCGUAAAGGGUGCGUAGGCGGGUCAUACAGUCAGAUGUGAAAUUCCUGGGCUUAACCUGGGGGCUGCAUUUGAUACGUGUGGGCUUGAGUGGGGAAGAGGGUCGUGGAAUUCCCAGUGUAGAGGUGAAAUUCGUAGAUAUUGGGAAGAACACCGGUGGCGAAGGCGGCGACCUGGUCCUUGACUGACGCUGAGGCGCGAAAGCGUGGGGAGCAAACAGG
rnacentral:rRNA from 1 species